UUUAUGGAGAGUUUGAUCCUGGCUCAGGAUGAACGCUGGCGGCGUGCCUAAUACAUGCAAGUCGAGCGAACAGAUAAGGAGCUUGCUCCUUUGACGUUAGCGGCGGACGGGUGAGUAACACGUGGGUAACCUACCUAUAAGACUGGAAUAACUCCGGGAAACCGGGGCUAAUGCCGGAUAAUAUUUAGAACCGCAUGGUUCUAAAGUGAAAGAUGGUUUUACUAUCACUUAUAGAUGGACCCGCGCCGUAUUAGCUAGUUGGUGGGGUAAUGGCUUACCAAGGCAACGAUACGUAGCCGACCUGAGAGGGUGAUCGGCCACACUGGAACUGAGACACGGUCCAGACUCCUACGGGAGGCAGCAGUAGGGAAUCUUCCGCAAUGGGCGAAAGCCUGACGGAGCA
rnacentral:rRNA from 1 species